CGAUCUCUCUGAUUAAAAAGAAGAAUUCAUGAUCGGUAGGAUCUAUGAGCUUUUGAUGAGAGCAUUACAUCAAUCAUUAGAAUGAGCACCUUCAUUUUCUUAUGUGGGUGUUUCUGGAGUUUUCUGGAAUGUUCUCCAAGGUCUGACCGGGUGAGCCUCCAUCAUCCCCACCUCGGCACCACAUUAUAUGGUUGGGGUAAAUGGCUUCACCGCAGCCCCUCUGCAGAGGUUCUUGGGGGAAAAGGAAGAAGGCUUCUCACACGUGCAUCUGGUUCCCUCAUGAAACCAGCGAUCACUGGGUGCAGGUAAGACAAGAAUGUAGUUCGUUUAUUGCAGAGGCUAACAUGUGAACUCGAGUCAAAUAAUCAAACUACAUGUAUCUCAUUAGAGACUCCAAAAGGAUGAAGACCAUUUUAUGAUAAAAGGGGGUUGCUUUAGUAAAAGUAAAAUAAGAAGGGAAUUUUUGUACAAUUAAAUCAUUUCUACUUCAGCU
rnacentral:lncRNA from 1 species